AUGGAGCAAUUACCGAGCCCUGGAAGGAUAUUUCCACUGAAUUUGUUAAAACUGAGUUCAAGCACGGCCAAAGAUGGCGCACUCGCGCAUGGCGUCGUUGGUAUCUGCCCAGUAAAGCUGUUGUUACUGGCAUUGAGUGCGAUCAAAUUCUCCAUUGCUUUCCAUGUGGUGGAUGGAAACUGUCCUGUGAAUAAGUUGCUUGAGAUGUUGAGUACCUGCAGAGGCUGCGCAGGGGUUGAGGAUGGCAGCUCAUGCAGCGCUCCUGUCAGGCGGUUGAAGCUGACGUCAAGGACGAUUAUGCUGCUGGACGACACCAACUCCAGCGGCAAAGUGCCGGACAGCGAGUUACGCGACAGGUUGAGGCGCAAGAGGCCGGUGAGGUUGCCGACGGACGGCGAGAUGGACCCCUCGAGGCCUCGAGAAGCCAGCGAAACAUCGGUGACCUUCCUAACUUGGUUGCAGGUGAUCCCUUCCCAUGUGCAGCAGUCAGUGUUGCUCCGCCACGACGCGGCGAGGCCGCCGUCCCGCGAGAGCCCGGCGAGGAGCUGGAGAAGGGAGCCCUUCUCCUGCUCGGUGCAGGAGCUGGUCGGAGAGAUCAAAGUGGCCAGCAGCAUCAGAGCCAAGCCAAGGGAAGGCAUGUGGAAGGAAUUUCUUGGUGAAACUGCUGUGUGGAGAGCAGAGUUGGCUGCACGGUGUUGUGGUGAAAGCUAG
rnacentral:rRNA from 1 species